UGGUUCAGUUGGUAGAGCAUGGUGUUUGCAAUGCCAGGGUUGUGGGUUCGAUUCCCAC
rnacentral:tRNA from 1 species